AAUAAUUUUAAAUAAGCACAUUUUAAACUGGAUUUUAUGCUUUCGGAGGCAGGACCCAUAUGUUUCUCCUUACUUUUCUGUUUCCCCAUAGCACCAAGCCUAUAGGCACACAGUGGGUGCUUUGUUAACUGCUUGUUGAUUACUUCCUCACACCCAUCCGAGUUUAAAUCUUACAGGUGCUGUCAGCUACUAGAGCAGAUGUGGCAGAGCCAUUCCAUGAUCAUAUUACAAAGAGUAGAACUCAUAAUUAUACCUUUCUCAGUAGACACAGGGCACCUCCCUUCUCUUUUGUUGUCUCCCCUUCCCCCACCUCACAACCAAACAAUGUGAAGGUAGGAUUAUGGCAGCUUUACUUAGGAGCGAAGUGUUUCUACAAUAAGUCAUAACUCUAAGAGUCCUCCAGACUUAAAAGAUAACUUUACUACUACAUGGUGAAAGUUUGAAUAGAUCAUAAUUUAUUCCUGUAGAUCUAUGAAGGAUUCUUUCUGUAACCAGAAGGAACUUUAUAACCAGCCUUAUAUUUUUAUUUUAAAAUAUAUUUCUCUAAUUUCCCCCUUCCUGUUCUCCUCAAAAUAUCAACCAAAAUUAUGAAAAUGUGCCUAACCUAGUGACUUUCCAAUAGCAUUUAAAAUUACUUUUAUCCUAACACCAUGAACAGUUAUUUACCCCUUCGAGUCAUGAAUUGGACACUAAAUUUGGGUCUUGGGUCAGGUCCAUAAACACCCUUCAUCACCCUUUGGAAUAAAACCAGCAUGUGCUACAGUUGGCAAAAUCAUCGUGGGCAUAAAGAAAAUCCGUUUCUUCAAACGAGAUUGCGAGUUCUUGGAAUAGUAUUUUAUAGCAUUGUUUAUCCUUGAAUCUCUUGUUUUUUAAGUGUAGAAUUUAUAAGAAAAAAGUUAUUAUACAGCUAACUAUAGCAUUUUAGAAGAAAAUCAGCUCUGUGAAUCAUCAGGCUCCAUACUUCUUGGCUCGUUACUCUACUGAUUUUGAUCCCUCCAUGAGGGGAUUAAGGUUGGGAGGAGCGGUGAAAUUUACGUUAGUUGAUAUUAUUUUAUCAGAGGUCUCAUAUAUGGUUUAUUGUAAAGGAAUUAAAUAUAUAGAGGCCUAAUUUUUAACAAAUUAGCCAUGUUGUUCCAAACCUCCAUUAUGAGCAUUAUCUUGGGGUUAGUUGUCAAUGAUAGACUUUACAUUUUAUAUGCUUUUUAAAUAGAGAAGGUGAAAAAUAAUAAAGUAAUCAUUAUUACAGGUAAGUGGUUUUAGUCACCUCUAUUUUACAAAUGUGUGCCCUCCAAAUGCUUGAGAGGGAAGUCAAAUAAGAUAGGUAAGUAUCUUUUUAGGAGGUUGAAUGAUGUUUCCUUAUAAAAAUGACAAUCAAGAAAUAGUCAUUUGUAUACUUAAUUGCCAAAGUUUUAAAAAAUUUUACAUUCCUUACCCUAAACCCAACUGCUCUCCCAUCCAGGAUUCAGAAAGGGCUCAGCAUAGAUCCAGGGUCCCAGGGCCCAGGUCAUUUCGUUUUUAGUCUAGGCCUUCUGUGCCUGCAUGUGGCAAGGGCAUUGAUGGCACCUGUGUCCUAGGACACAGUGUGUGUGUGCGUUUGGAGGCAGGGGCUGUGCCCAGACUUAUAUUCACCCCUUUCUAUCAG
ensembl:lncRNA